UACGGAAGGUCCGGGCGUUAUCCGGAUUUAUUGGGUUUAAAGGGAGCGUAGGCCGUGUAUUAAGUGUGUUGUGAAAUGUAGAUGCUCAACAUCUGAACUGCAGCGCAUACUGGUGCACUUGAGUACGCACAACGUAGGCGGAAUUCGUCGUGUAGCGGUGAAAUGCUUAGAUAUGACGAAGAACUCCGAUUGCGAAGGCAGCUUACGGGAGCGCAACUGACGCUGAUGCUCGAAGGUGCGGGUAUCGAACAGG
rnacentral:rRNA from 2 species